GACGAACGCUGGCGGCGUGCUUAACACAUGCAAGUCGAACGGAAAGGCCCUGCUUUUGUGGGGUGCUCGAUUGGCGAACGGGUGAGUAACACGUGAGUAACCUGCCCUUGACUUUGGGAUAACUUCAGGAAACUGGGGCUAAUACCGGAUAGGAGCUCCUGCUGCAUGGUGGGCGUUGGAAAGUUUCGGCGGUUGGGGAUGGACUCGCGGCUUAUCAGCUUGUUGGUGGGGUAGUGGCUUACCAAGGCUUUGACGGGUAGCCGGCCUGAGAGGGUGACCGGCCACAUUGGGACUGCGGUACGGCGCAGACUCCUACGGGAGGCAGCAGUGGGGAAUAUUGCACAAUGGGCGGGAGCCUGAUGCAGCAACGCCGCGUGCGGGAUGACGGCCUUCGGGUUGUAAACCGCUUUCGCCUGUGACGAAGCGUGAGUGACGGUAAUGGGUAAAGAAGCACCGGCUAACUACGUG
rnacentral:rRNA from 1 species